rnacentral:rRNA from 1 species
GAUGAACGCUAGCUACAGGCUUAACACAUGCAAGUCGAGGGACGGGCGCACGGGUGAGUAACAGGUAUCCAACCUGCCCUUUACUCGGGGAUAGCCUUUCGAAAGAAAGAUCAAUACCCGAUAUAAAGGAUGGGGAUGCGUUCCAUUAGGUGGUUGGUGAGGUAACGGCCCACCAAGCCUUCGAUGGAUAGGGGUUCUGAGAGGAAGGUCCCCCGCAUUGGAGCUGAGCCACGGUCCACGCUCCUACGGGAGGCAGCAGUGAGGAAUAUUGGUCACUGGGCGUUAGCCUUACCCAGCCAAGUAGCGUGAAGGAUGAUGGCUUAUGGGUCCUAUUCUUCUUUUAUAUAAGAAUAUGUAUUAUAUGAAUAAGGAUCGGCUAACUCCGUGCCAGCAGCCGCGGUAAUAC